rnacentral:lncRNA from 1 species
GCCCUAGCUCUUGGCUGCAUGCUAUGGACUCUUCUAGUCAACUCAGCAGUCCUUGAGAGCUCUCCUGGGGACAUCCUGGAGCACUUCAGAGCUGAAAGAGCAGAACCACAUUCCCAGGGAGGGUGGUGUGGCCAAGGAAGGAGGAGAGGCAGCAGUAUUUCUCCAAGAAAUUGGUAAGAAGCACAGAGGUGAGCAAAACCAUCUCAGUGGGAUCCAUCCAAAGGUAAGACACUAGCCAGCCCCAGAAAAUUUGGCCAUACUAGAGAGAU